rnacentral:rRNA from 1 species
AGAGUUUGAUCCUGGCUCAGGACGAACGCUGGCGGCGUGCUUAACACAUGCAAGUCGAACGGAAAGGCCCUUCGGGGUACUCGAGUGGCGAACGGGUGAGUAACACGUGGGUGAUCUGCCCUGCACUUUGGGAUAAGCCUGGGAAACUGGGUCUAAUACCGAAUAGGACCGCGCGCUUCAUGGUGUGUGGUGGAAAGCUUUUGCGGUGUGGGAUGGGCCCGCGGCCUAUCAGCUUGUUGGUGGGGUAAUGGCCUACCAAGGCGACGACGGGUAGCCGGCCUGAGAGGGUGACCGGCCACACUGGGACUGAGAUACGGCCCAGACUCCUACGGGAGGCAGCAGUGGGGAAUAUUGCACAAUGGGCGCAAGCCUGAUGCAGCGACGCCGCGUGAGGGAUGACGGCCUUCGGGUUGUAAACCUCUUUCACCAGGGACGAAGCGCAAGUGACGGUACCUGGAGAAGAAGCACCGGCCAACUACGUGCCAGCAGCCGCGGUAAUACGUAGGGUGCGAGCGUUGCCCGGAAUUACUGGGCGUAAAGAGCUCGUAGGUGGUUUGUCGCGUUGUUCGUGAAAACUCACAGCUUAACUGUGGGCGUGCGGGCGAUACGGGCAGACUAGAGUACUGCAGGGGAGACUGGAAUUCCUGGUGUAGCGGUGGAAUGCGCAGAUAUCAGGAGGAACACCGGUGGCGAAGGCGGGUCUCUGGGCAGUAACUGACGCUGAGGAGCGAAAGCGUGGGGAGCGAACAGGAUUAGAUACCCUGGUAGUCCAA